rnacentral:rRNA from 1 species
AUGGCUGGUGUUCUAACGUAGACCCGUAAUCCGGGUUGCGGACAGUGUCUGGUGGGUAGUUUGACUGGGGCGGUCUCCUCCCAAAGAGUAACGGAGGAGCACGAAGGUUAGCUAAUCCUGGUCGGACAUCAGGAGGUUAGUGCAAUGGCAUAAGCUAGCUUGACUGCGAGAGUGACGGCUCGAGCAGGUGCGAAAGCAGGUCAUAGUGAUCCGGUGGUUCUGAAUGGAAGGGCCAUCGCUCAACGGAUAAAAGGUACUCCGGGGAUAACAGGCUGAUACCGCCCAAGAGUUCAUAUCGACGGCGGUGUUUGGCACCUCGAUGUCGGCUCAUCACAUCCUGGGGCUGAAGUAGGUCCCAAGGGUAUGGCUGUUCGCCAUUUAAAGUGGUACGCGAGCUGGGUUUAGAACGUCGUGAGACAGUUCGGUCCCUAUCUGCCGUGGGCGCUGGAGAAUUGAGGGGGGCUGCUCCUAGUACGAGAGGACCGGAGUGGACGCAUCACUGGUGUUCGGGUUGUCAUGCCAAUGGCACUGCCCGGUAGCUAAAUGCGGAAGAGAUAAGUGCUGAAAGCAUCUAAGCACGAAACUUGCCCCGA